AAUAUUUUUUUACUUCCAACCAUUUAUUUUAUAUGGAAUAUUUACAAAUAAUAAGGGUUUAAAUGGGUAAAAGAAAAUAGGCUACACCGGAAGAAAGCAAAUUGAAGAAAUAAUUAGGCUUUGUUUGGGAGUUUGGAGUGGAAGGGAGGGGAGGCUUUGGGGUUUUGGAAAUAUAUAGAAAAAUGGACAAAAAAUUCACUUUUUUUGAAAG
rnacentral:lncRNA from 1 species